rnacentral:sRNA from 1 species
GCCAGGCGUGGUGACGCACGCCUAUAAUCCCAGCAGCUCAGGAGGCUGAGGCAGGAGGAUCAUGAGUUCAAAGCUAGCCUCAGCAACAGUGAGGUGCUGUCUCUA